rnacentral:rRNA from 1 species
AAGCGUUAUCCGGAUGGCGAAAGCGAGCGCAGGCGGUUUUUUGUCUGAUGUGAAAGCCCUCGGCUUCCGAGGAAGUGCAUCGGAAACUGGGAAACUUGAGUGCAGAAGAGGACAGUGGAACUCCAUGUGUAGCGGUGAAAUGCGUAGAUAUAUGGAAGAACACCAGUGGCGAAGGCGGCUGUCUGGUCUGUCUGACGCUGAGGCUCGAAAGCAUGGGUAGCGAACAGGAUUAGAUACCCUGGUAGUCCAUGCCGUACGAUGAAUGCUAGGUGUUGGAGGGUUUCCGCCCUUCAGUGCCGCAGCUCGCAUUGCAUUCCGCCUGGGGAGUACGACCGCAAGGUUGAAACUCAAAGGAAUUGACGGGGGCCCGCACAAGCGGUGGAGCAUGUGGUUUUUCGAAGCAACGCGAAGAACCUUACCAGGUCUUGACAUCUUUUGAUCACCUGAGAGAUCAGGUUUCCCCUUCGGGGGCAAAAUGACAGGUGGUGCAUGGUUGUCGUCAGCUCGUGUCGUGAGAUGUUGGGUUUCCCGCAACGAGCGCAACCCGUUGCCAGCAUUUAGUUGGGCACUGGACUGCCGGUGACAAACCGGAGGAAGGUGGGGAUGACGAAUCAUCAUGCCCCUUAUGACCUGGGCUACACACGUGCUACAAUGGAUGGUACAACGAGUUGCGAGACCGCGAGGAGCUCUCCCAUUCUCAGUUCGGACUGUAGGCUGCAACUCGCCUACACGAAGUCGGAAUCGGUCGCGGAUCAGCACGCCGCGGUGAAUACGUUCCCGGGCCUUGUACACACC